CCUACGGGAGGCAGCAGUGAGGAAUAUUGGUCAAUGGACGAGAGUCUGAACCAGCCAAGUAGCGUGAAGGAUGACUGCCCUAUGGGUUGUAAACUUCUUUUAUAUGGGAAUAAAAUGUUCCACGUGUGGGAUUUUGUAUGUACCAUAUGAAUAAGGAUCGGCUAACUCCGUGCCAGCAGCCGCGGUAAUACGGAGGAUCCGAGCGUUAUCCGGAUUUAUUGGGGUUAACGGGAGCGUAGGUGGAUUGUUAAGUCAGUUGUGAAAGUUUGCGGCUCAACCGUAAAAUUGCAGUUGAAACUGGCAGUCUUGAGUACAGUAGAGGUGGGAGGAAUUCGUGGUGUAGCGGUGAAAUGCUUAGAUAUCACGAAGAACUCCGAUUGCGAAGGCAGUUCACUGGACUGCAACUGACACUGAGGCUCGAAAGUGUGGGUAUCAAACAGGAUUAGAUACCCCUGUAGUA
rnacentral:rRNA from 1 species